UACGUAGGAUGCAAGCGUUGUCCGGAAUUACUGGGCGUAAAGCGCGCGCAGGCGGUCCUUUAAGUCAGGGGUGAAAGCCCAGAGCUCAACUCUGGAACUGCCUUUGAAACUAGAGGACUUGGGUACGGGAGAGGUGAGUGGAAUUCCGAGUGUAGAGGUGAAAUUCGUAGAUAUUCGGAAGAACACCAGUGGCGAAGGCGGCUCACUGGCCCGGUACUGACGCUGAGGUGCGAAAGCGUGGGGAGCAAACAGG
rnacentral:rRNA from 1 species